rnacentral:rRNA from 1 species
AACGGAGGCGCUCAAAGGUUUCCUCAGAAUGGUUGGAAAUCAUUCAUAGAGUGUAAAGGCACAAGGAAGCUUGACUGCGAGACUUACAAGUCGAGCAGGGUCGAAAGACGGACUUAGUGAUCCGGUGGUUCCGCAUGGAAGGGCCAUCGCUCAACGGAUAAAAGCUACCCCGGGGAUAACAGGCUUAUCUCCCCCAAGAGUUCACAUCGACGGGGAGGUUUGGCACCUCGAUGUCGGCUCAUCGCAUCCUGGGGCUGUAGUCGGUCCCAAGGGUUGGGCUGUUCGCCCAUUAAAGCGGUACGCGAGCUGGGUUCAGAACGUCGUGAGACAGUUCGGUCCCUAUCCGUCGUGGGCGUAGGAAAUUUGAGAGGAGCUGUCCUUAGUACGAGAGGACCGGGAUGGACAUACCUCUGGUGUACCAGUUGUCGUGCCAACGGCAUCGCUGGGUAGCUAUGUAUGGACGGGAUAAGUGCUGAAAGCAUCUAAGCAUGAAGCCCCCCUCAAGAUGAGAUUUCCCAACUUCGGUUAUAAGAUCCCUCAAAGAUGAUGAGGUUAAUAGGUUCGAGGUGGAAGCAUAGCGAUAUGUGGAGCUGACGAAUACUAAUCGAUCGAAGACUUAAUCAAAUU